UACGAAGGGGGCUAGCGUUGUUCGGAAUCACUGGGCGUAAAGCGCACGUAGGCGGACAUUUAAGUCAGGGGUGAAAUCCCGAGGCUCAACCUCGGAACUGCCUUUGAUACUGGGUGUCUUGAGUAUGGUAGAGGUUGGUGGAACUGCGAGUGUAGAGGUGAAAUUCGUAGAUAUUCGCAAGAACACCAGUGGCGAAGGCGGCCAACUGGACCAUUACUGACGCUGAGGUGCGAAAGCGUGGGGAGCAAACAGG
rnacentral:rRNA from 1 species